ACGAAAAAUAACGAUACGGGACUCAUCCGAGGCCCCGUAAUCGGAAUGAGUACACUCUAAACCCUUUAACGAGGAUCAAUUGGAGGGCAAGUCUGGUGCCAGCAGCCGCGGUAACACCAGCUCCAAAAGCGUAUAUUAAAGUUGUUGCGGUUAAAAAGCUCGUAGUCGAAUUUGUGUCCCGCGCCGCCGGUUCAUCGCUCGCGGUGUCAACUGGCGUGUCCGCGGGACGUCCUGCCGGUGGGCUUAGCCCGCUCGGGCGGCCCAAUCUCAAUCCCACCGCGGUGCUCUUCACUGAGUGUCGAGGUGGGCCGGCACGUUUACUUUGAACAAAUUAGAGUGCUUAAAGCAGGCUAAAACAUCGCCUGAAUACUGUGUGCAUGGAAUAAUGGAAUAGGACCUCGGUUCUAUUUUGUUGGUUUUCGGAACCCCGAGGUAAUGAUUAAUAGGAACGGAUGGGGGCAUUCGUAUUGCGACGUUAGAGGUGAAAUUCUUGGAUCGUCGCAAGACGGACAGAAGCGAAAGCAUUUGCCAAAAACGCUUUCAUUGAUCAAGAACGAAAGUUAGAGGUUCGAAGGCGAUCAGAUACCGCCCUAGUUCUAACCAUAAACGAUGCCAGCUAGCGAUCCGCCGACGUUCCUCCGAUGACUCGGCGGGCAGCUUCCGGGAAACCAAAGCUUUUGGGUUCCGGGGGAAGUAUGGUUGCAAAGCUGAAACUUAAAGGAAUUGACGGAAGGGCACCACCAGGAGUGGAGCCUGCGGCUUAAUUUGACUCAACACGGGAAACCUCACCAGGCCCGGACACCGGAAGGAUUGACAGAUUGAGAGC
rnacentral:rRNA from 1 species